GCCUGGGUGGCUCAGUCGGUUGAGCGUCCGACUUUAGCUCAGGUCAUGAUCUCGCGGUUUGUGGGUUCGAGCCCCGCGUCGGGCU
rnacentral:tRNA from 1 species